rnacentral:rRNA from 1 species
UACGUAGGGGGGCAAGCGUUUGUCCGGAAUCAUUGGGCGUAAAGCGCGUGUAGGCGGCUGACUAAGUCCGCUCUGAAAGCCCCGGGGGCUCAACCCCCGGGAGGCGGGUGGAUACUGGUCAGCUCGAGUCCGGAAGAGGAGUGUGGAAUUCCUGGUGUAGCGGUGAAAUGCGCAGAUAUCAGGAGGAACACCAAUGGCGAAGGCAGCACUCUGGGACGGUACUGACGCUGAGACGCGAAAGCGUGGGGAGCAAACAGG